rnacentral:rRNA from 1 species
GAACGCUGGCGGGCAUCCCUUACGCAUCCAAGUCGAACGGUAACAGGUCUUCGGAUGCUGACGAGUGGCGAACGGGUGAGUAAUACAUCGGAACGUGCCCGAGAGUGGGGGAUAACGAAGCGAAAGCUUUGCUAAUACCGCAUACGAUCUCAGGAUGAAAGCAGGGGACCGCAAGGCCUUGCGCUCACGGAGCGGCCGAUGGCAGAUUAGUAGUUGGUGGGAUAAAAGCUUACCAAGCCGACGAUCUGUAGCUGGUCUGAGAGGACGACCAGCCACACUGGGACUGAGACACGGCCCAGACUCCUACGGGAGGCAGCAGUGGGGAAUUUUGGACAAUGGGCGCAAGCCUGAUCCAGCCAUGCCGCGUGCAGGAUGAAGGCCUUCGGGUUGUAAACUGCUUUUGUACGGAACGAAAAGACUCUGGUUAA